UACGUAGGGGCCAAGCGUUGUCCGGAUUUAUUGGGCGUAAAGAGCUCGUAGGCGGUUCGAAAAGUCGGCUGUGAAAUCUCCAUGCUCAACAUGGAGCGGCCAGUCGAAACUUUCGUGACUCGAGUCCGGUAGGGGAGAAUGGAAUUCCUGGUGUAGCGGUGAAAUGCGCAGAUAUCAGGAGGAACACCAAUUGCGAAGGCAGCUCGCUGGGACGUUACUGACGCUGAGACGCGAAAGCUAGGGGAGCGAACGGG
rnacentral:rRNA from 1 species